UGGGGAAUAUUGGACAAUGGGCGCAAGCCUGAUCCAGCCAUGCCGCGUGGAUGAAGAAGGCCCUAGGGUUGUAAAGUCCUUUCGACGGAGACGAUAAUGACGGUAUCCGUAGAAGAAGCCCCGGCUAAUUUCGUGCCAGCAGCCGCGGUAAUACGAAAGGGGCUAGCGUUGUUCGGAAUUACUGGGCGUAAAGCGCACGUAGGCGGUCGUGUAAGAUGGGGGUGAAAUCCCGGAGCUCAACUCCGGAACUGCCUUCAUGACUGCAUGGCUAGAGGAUGCGAGAGGUUGGCGGAAUUCCGAGUGUAGAGGUGAAAUGCGUAGAUAUCUGGAGGAACACCGGUGGCGAAGGCGACAUCCUGGACCAAUUCUGACGCUGAGGAGCGAAAGCCAGGGGAGCAAACGGGAUUAGAUACCCCAGUAGUCCCUGAGCGGGCUGGCAAGGCGCAU
rnacentral:rRNA from 1 species